UUUUGAAAAACGACCCAGGGAGUGCACUUGAUUGGCGAGUCUAACCCGUGAACCGGGGAAGGCGCAGGGAAACCGAUACGGCCGCAGCACAUUCGUGCGAGGGCCACCGUGUUCAAGCGCGGGGAGUCAAUCAGGUGCGACCCGAAACCAGGCGAUCUACGCGCGAGCAAGGUGAAGCGUGGCGAAAGCCACGUGGAGGCCUGUUAGAGUUGGU
rnacentral:rRNA from 1 species